UACGUAGGGAGCAAGCGUUGUUCGGAUUUACUGGGCGUAAAGGGCGCGUAGGCGGCGCGGUAAGUCACUUGUGAAAUCUCUGAGCUUAACUCAGAACGGCCAAGUGAUACUGCAGUGCUAGAGUGCAGAAGGGGCAAUCGGAAUUCUUGGUGUAGCGGUGAAAUGCGUAGAUAUCAAGAGGAACACCUGAGGGGGAGACGGGUUGCUAGGCUGACACUGACGCUGAGGCGCGAAAGCCAGGGGAGCAAACGGG
rnacentral:rRNA from 1 species